UCAUCACUCUCCCAGUUCCUCGGCCAAAAUUGACUGUAGUCGUCAUCGAUCGUACCACCAUCAUCAACACCCCCAGCGGAAAAAGCACCACAGUACAAGCUACCUUCCUCACCAUCUGAGCACUAGCUACCUUACUGUGUAUAUGAUGUGGCUCCAGUGUUUCCAUUAGUCAGCGUUGGAGACAGCAACACAGCCAGCAUUUUCAGAAUAGCAUCCACGACACACAUUCCAAUGAUAACGGCCUUAGAGGUAGCACCAAGAUUGCCCCUGCGUCGUCAUAUUUUGGUAUAGCAUUCUGAGAGCAUACAUAGGGUUCUAGGAACUGCCGGAACAAAGCUGCGAGUAUUUUUUGCAACAAUGUGCCUGCACAUGGUAUAUGUUUCAAAAGAAGGAGUCGUAUGUUUGCAUGGAAGGACAAUAUUCUAGAUUCACUCCGACUGACGAGGCCAAUAGACACUCGCUACAGCGUCUGCGGUGAUAUGAUGACAUAGCGGAAACUGCAGUUCUGGAGGAUGUUCAUUCCCUAAGUAAAUUUUUCAAUGCAGUGGAGUUCCAACUGGCAAACGCGAAACAUCGGUUUCAACCGACUUAUCAAAAGGAGGGUUUAGACUUCCGGUAUCAUCAUAUAUAGUGUUUGCGCAGAAGUUCAGCUGCAAUCAACUGCGAUUAUAUUUGUCGAAGGUUUCUAUUCACGCUAUUUCAUGGCCUUACCAAUCGGAUGGAUUCAAAUUACGUUCUGCCCUACUUUAUUUUUCUUCAGAACAUCUUAUUGAAAUUAUGCAAAUAGAAAACAAUAUGUUAUGAACCGAUGGAACAGGACGAAACAUUAUUGGAAAGGAUUUGGCGAGGUUCACGGUAGCGAUCCAGAACUUUCUUUUAUUUCUUUUUGUUUGACCUCUUCGACGAACUAAGCUUAUGCCAUCAAUAUACAGGAUCGAUUUUUUCAUGGUUUCUGGAUGCUGAAGGAUAUGAUGGACUAAGUAAUGAUUCGGAGAUUGUUGAUGUAUGAAAUAAUAUGAUAAUGUAAUAACAAUCAACGGGUUAUUUAAUAAAUAA